rnacentral:rRNA from 1 species
AUUGAACGCUGGCGGCAGGCCUAACACAUGCAAGUCGAGCGGUUGAGGGGAGCUUGCUCCUGGAUUCAGCGGCGGACGGGUAAGUAAUGCGUAGGAAGCUGCCUAGCAGCGGGGGAUAACGUCCGGAAACGGGCGCUAAUAGCGCAUACGUGCUGAGGGAGAAAGUGGGGGAUGUUCGGACCUCACGCGAUCAUAUGACCCUAGGUCGGAUUAGCUAGUUGGUGGGGUAAAGGCCUACCAAGGCGACGAUCCGUAACUGGUCUGAGAGGAUGAUCAGUCACCCUGGAACUGAGACACGGUCCAGACUCCUACGGGAGGCAGCAGUGGGGAAUAUUGGACCAAGGGCGAAGGCCUGCUCCAGCAAUGCCGCGGGUUUGAAGAAGGUCUUCGGAUUGUAGAGCACUUCUAGCUGGGAGGAAGGACAGUAAGUUAAUUCCUUGCUGUUUUGACGUUACCAACAGAAUAAGCACCGGCUAACUUCGUG